CCUACGGGUGGCUGCAGUGGGGAAUAUUGGACAAUGGGCGAAAGCCUGAUCCAGCCAUGCCGCGUGUGUGAAGAAGGCCUUCGGGUUGUAAAGCACUUUCAGUGGGGAAGAAAGCCUUGGGGCUAAUACCCUCGAGGAAGGACAUCACCCACAGAAGAAGCACCGGCUAACUCCGUGCCAGCAGCCGCGGUAAUACGGAGGGUGCGAGCGUUGAUCGGAAUUACUGGGCGUAAAGCGCGCGUAGGCGGUCUGAUAAGCCGGUUGUGAAAGCCCCGGGCUCAACCUGGGAACGGCAUCCGGAACUGUCAGGCUAGAGUGCAGGAGAGGAGGGUGGAAUUCCCGGUGUAGCGGUGAAAUGCGUAGAGAUCGGGAGGAAUACCAGUGGCGAAGGCGGCCUUCUGGACUGACACUGACGCUGAGGUGCGAAAGCGUGGGUAGCAAACAGGAUUAGAUACCCCAGUAGUC
rnacentral:rRNA from 1 species